UACGUAGGGGGCUAGCGUUGUCCGGAAUCAUUGGGCGUAAAGCGCGUGUAGGCGGCCCGGUAAGUCCGCUGUGAAAGUCGGGGGCUCAACCCUCGGAAGCCGGUGGAUACUGUCGGGCUCGAGUACGGAAGAGGCGAGUGGAAUUCCUGGUGUAGCGGUGAAAUGCGCAGAUAUCAGGAGGAACACCAAUUGCGGAGGCAGCUCGCUGGGACGUAACUGACGCUGAGACGCGAAAGCGUGGGGAGCAAACAGG
rnacentral:rRNA from 1 species